rnacentral:lncRNA from 1 species
UUAGAGUGUAAUAUGCAAAUUAACUUAUCUAUUUCUCUUCAUAAAUCACUGUAUGCUUAUUUGUUCAGUAUUCACUGUUUUUAUAAUAUUGCAGAUACGAAAAUCGGUCUAUAUCAGAAGUAGUUAAAGACUUUAAUAAUAAUAUUGUUCUGGUAAAAUGAUAUAUAAUUUGGCCUGUGGCUUCCGCCAUUUUGGAAAAUUAAUAGUCCGCAGUGGUCCGCAAGCCUUUCCAUUCGUUUCCCACCAAUAUUUAUAUUUUUGAAAGGCCUGCGGAGGAGGUAGGCAAUAUACGAAUGAUAGAACAUUUAAUAUUAAUUGAAACAUCACAAAAAGCUUCAAAUUCGUAGUACUUACGUUGUGGCAUGCUCGUGUACACGGUUUUCUUCAUGAAUUUCAGUGCAAGUGUCAUGACUUCCAGUUCCAUUGUUUAUAUAUUCACUGGCACCCGAAGCACAGUCAUUCACGAGCAAUGCAUCUCGUUCUCCGUUUGACAUAACUAAAAGCGUAUUAAUUUUAAAAUCUUCUCCCGAUGCCAAUUCGCAACCUCCGAGUACUUUAUAAAAUGCUUCGUUCUCUGAAAAGCUUUAUUUACAAUACACUGUAUUCAUAAUAAGCUCGCCAUGAGCUCAAUAUAAGUAAAAUUGCCCAAUUAUAUUUUCAUGCGACCAAAGCCAGCUGACCCACCGAUCCGUGCGUAUGAUAAAGAACACGCCACAAAUUGUCUAAAUUGCGCGAGAGAUUUUAAAUUAAUCAUUUAACACAAGCCACCGUGUUACCGUGACGAAUCUCGAUAAACAAUGAAAAAUUUAUAUCAAACCAUGCCUGAUUUGCUUGAACGCUUCAACACUUUGGGAAUACAAGAAUAUGAAUAUCAAGAACCAGGAAAUAUUAAACACUGACAAUCUGACGCACUGAUCUCGAUCUAACACCAUAUGUCUGGACAAUUGUAACAUUUAAUUAACAACACUGUCAUAAAUGACAGUGUAUUCUAAUACAGUUGUAUCGUAUUAAUAGUCUAUUAAAUAAAAUUAAUUGAAAAAAAAAAUAUUGCUUAUAUGUUGUAUAUUCCUUCCUUUAUAUUUGAGGUAUUUCUUCGAAUCACUGAGGCGGUGGCAAAUUUCUUGUUGACAAGUGACGGCUAUUGACGAGUUGUUCCGAAAUCGCCCCGAUUUAUUGACGAAGAUAG